UUCGAAAAAGGCAAACCUGCCGCGAGGUAGGGACGCAAAGCCAAGGGUCUCUGGUGAGACAGCCAGGUUACCUAAA
rfam:Chloroflexi bacterium RBG_19FT_COMBO_55_16 rbg_19ft_combo_scaffold_398, whole genome shotgun sequence.